rnacentral:tRNA from 1 species
GAUCCGUCAGGCGGCGGCCAAUGAACUGCUGGUCAAGGCCGCCGAUCUCGACAUGUCGCCGACGGUCU